rnacentral:rRNA from 1 species
UCAAGAUUCUAAGAGCAAACGGUGGAUGCCUUGGCAUCUGGAGCCGAAGAAGGACGUAUAAAUCUGCGAUAAGCCUCGGGGAGCUGAUAAUAGAGCUUUGAUCCGAGGAUCUCCGAAUGGGGAAACCCCGCCAGGCCCUUUGGGUGACCUGGUGACUCCCGCCUGAAUAUAUAGGGCGGGUAGAGGGAACGUGGGGAAGUGAAACAUCUCAGUACCCACAGGAAGAGAAAGCAAAAGCGAUUCCGUUAGUAGUGGCGAGCGAAACCGGAAGAGGCCAAACCGAUCAUGUGUGAUAUCCGGUAGGAGUUGCAUGGUCGGGGUUGCGGGACUUUCCGUACAGUUCUACCGAGCUGUGAGGGCAAUGAGCGCGAUAUAGACGAAUGGUCUUGAAAGGCCAGUCAUAGAGGGUGCGAACCCCGUAGUCGAAAUGUCGUCGCCUGUCCGGAGAGUAUCCCAAGUAGCACGGGGCCCGAGAAAUCCCGUGUGAAUCUGUCAGGACCACCUGAUAAGCCUAAAUACUCCCAGAUGACCGAUAGCGGACAAGUACCGUGAGGGAAAGGUGAAAAGUACCCCGGGAGGGGAGUGAAAUAGUACCUGAAACCGUUUGCUUACAAACCGUUGGAGCACCCUUGUUGGUGUGACAGCGUGCCUUUUGAAGAAUGAGCCUGCGAGUUAGUGAUAUGUGGCGAGGUUAACCCGUGAGGGGCAGCCGUAGCGAAAGCGAGUCUUAAUAGGGCGUAUGAGUCGCAUGUUCUAGACCCGAAGCGAAGUGAUCUAUCCAUGGCCAGGUUGAAGCGACGGUAAGACGUCGUGGAGGACCGAACCCACUUCAGUUGAAAAUGGAGGGGAUGAGCUGUGGAUAGGGGUGAAAGGCCAAUCAAACUUCGUGAUAGCUGGUUCUCUCCGAAAUGCAUUUAGGUGCAGCGUUGCGUGUUUCUUGCCGGAGGUAGAGCUACUGGAUGGACGAUGGGCCCCAAAAGGUUACUGACUUCAGCCAAACUCCGAAUGCCGGUAAGUGAGAGCGCAGCAGUGAGACGGUGGGGGAUAAGCUUCAUCGUCGAGAGGGAAACAACCCAGACCACCAUCUAAGGUCCCUAAGCGCGUGCUAAGUGGGAAAGGAUGUGGAGUUGCAUAGACAACCAGGAGGUUGGCUUAGAAGCAGCCACCCUUGAAAGAGUGCGUAAUAGCUCACUGGUCAAGUGAUUCCGCGCCGACAAUGUAACGGGGCUCAAGCACGCCACCGAAGUUGUGGCAUUUAUAUUAUAGGCAGGCCUUCGUGGUCCAGCCGUAUGGAUGGGUAGGAGAGCGUCGUGUGGCCAGCGAAGCGGCGGUGUGAACCAGCCGUGGAGGCCACACGAGUGAGAAUGCAGGCAUGAGUAGCGAAAGACGGGUGAGAAACCCGUCCUCCGAAAGACCAAGGGUUCCAGGGCCAGGCUAAUCCGCCCUGGGUAAGUCGGGACCUAAGGCGAGGCCGACAGGCGUAGUCGAUGGACAACGGGUUGAUAUUCCCGUACCGAUGAAGAACCGCCCAAGACAAUCCAGUAAUGCUAAGUGUCUGAAUCCUUGAUUCGAUCCCUUCGGGGUGACGGUCUUGGCCUAGCACACGACCCUACGCUGGGGCGUUUAGCGUAUUAACAGGUGUGACGCAGGAAGGUAGCUGAGCCGGGCGAUGGUUGUCCCGGUCUAAGGAUGUAGGGCAGAAGAUAGGCAAAUCCGUGUUCUAUGUAGCCUGAGACCCGAUGGGUAGUCCUCACGGACGAAAUCAGUGAUCCUAUGCUGCCGAGAAAAGCAUCGACGCGAGGUUCCAAUCGCCCGUACCCCAAACCGACUCAGGUGGUCAGGUAGAGAAUACUAAGGAGAUCGAGAGAAUCGUGGUUAAGGAACUCGGCAAAAUGCCCCCGUAACUUCGGGAGAAGGGGGGCCUGAGGCGUGUAGGGAUUUACUCCUGAAGCGUUUGAAGGCCGCAGAGACCAGUGGGAAGCGACUGUUUACUAAAAACACAGGUCCGUGCUAAGUCGCAAGACGAUGUAUACGGACUGACGCCUGCCCGGUGCUGGAAGGUUAAGAGGAACGGUUAGCACGCAAGUGCGAAGCUGAGAAUUUAAGCCCCAGUAAACGGCGGUGGUAACUAUAACCAUCCUAAGGUAGCGAAAUUCCUUGUCGGGUAAGUUCCGACCUGCACGAAUGGCGUAACGACUUCCCAGCUGUCUCAACCGCGAACUCGGCGAAAUUGCACUACGAGUAAAGAUGCUCGUUACGCGCAGCAGGACGGAAAGACCCCGUGACCUUUACUACAGCUUGGUAUUGGUGUUCGGUGUGGCUUGUGUAGGAUAGGUGGGAGACUGUGAAGCUCGGACGCUAGUUCGGGUGGAGUCAUUGUUGAAAUACCACUCUGGUCACUCUGGAUAUCUAACUUCGAACCGUAAUCCGGUUCAGGGACAGUGCCUGGUGGGUAGUUUAACUGGGGCGGUUGCCUCCUAAAGAGUAACGGAGGCGCCCAAAGGUUCCCUCAACCUGGUUGGUAAUCAGGUGUCGAGUGUAAGUGCACAAGGGAGCUUGACUGUGAGACUGACAAGUCGAGCAGGGACGAAAGUCGGGACUAGUGAUCCGGCAGUGGCUUGUGGAAGCGCUGUCGCUCAACGGAUAAAAGGUACCUCGGGGAUAACAGGCUGAUCUUGCCCAAGAGUCCAUAUCGACGGCAUGGUUUGGCACCUCGAUGUCGGCUCGUCGCAUCCUGGGGCUGGAGUAGGUCCCAAGGGUUGGGCUGUUCGCCCAUUAAAGCGGUACGCGAGCUGGGUUUAGAACGUCGUGAGACAGUUCGGUCCCUAUCCGCUGCGCGCGUAGGAAAUUUGAGAAGAUCUAUCCCUAGUACGAGAGGACCGGGAUGGACGAACCUCUGGUGUGUCAGUUGUUCCGCCAGGAGCACCGCUGAUUAGCUACGUUCGGAACGGAUAACCGCUGAAAGCAUCUAAGCGGGAAGCCGGCUUCGAGAUGAGAUUUCCAUCCCUUUUAGGGUGAAGGCUCCCGGCUAGACUACCGGGUUGAUAGGCAGGAUGUGGAAGCGAGGACUAAAGACUCGUGGAGCUGACCUGUACUAAUAAGCCGAUAUCUUGAAAAC